rnacentral:rRNA from 1 species
AGAGUUUGAUCAUGGCUCAGAACGUACGCUGGCGGCACGCCUAACACAUGCAAGUCGAACGAAGUAGCAAUACUUAGUGGCAGACGGGUGAGUAACAUGUAGGUAUCUGCCCUUUGGCCUGGAAUAACACGAGGAAACUUGUGCUAAUACCGGAUAAGUCUUUACGGAGAAAGCUUUAUGCACCAUUGGAUGAGCCUGCACUUGAUUAGUUUGUUGGUGGGGUAAUGGCCUACCAAGACUGUGAUCAAUAGCUGAUUUGAGAGGAUGAUCAGCCACAUUGGGACUGAGACACGGCCCAAACUCCUACGGGAGGCAGCAGUGGGGAAUCUUGCACAAUGGAGGAAACUCUGAUGCAGCGAUGCCGCGUGAGUGAAGAAGGCCCUUGGGUUGUAAAGCUCUUUCGUCGGGGAAGAAAAUGACUGUACCCGAAUAAGAAGGUCCGGCUAACUUCGUGCCAGCAGCCGCGGUAAUACGAAGGGACCUAGCGUAGUUCGGAAUUACUGGGCUUAAAGAGUUCGUAGGUGGUUGAAAAAGUUAGUGGUGAAAUCCCAGAGCUUAACUCUGGAACUGCCAUUAAAACUUUUCAGCUAGAGUAUGAUAGAGGAAAGCAGAAUUUCUAGUGUAGAGGUGAAAUUCGUAGAUAUUAGAAAGAAUACCAAUUGCGAAGGCAGCUUUCUGGAUCAUUACUGACACUGAGGAACGAAAGCAUGGGUAGCGAAGAGGAUUAGAUACCCUCGUAGUCCAUGCCGUAAACGAUGUGUGUUAGACGUUGGAAAUUUAUUUUCAGUGUCGCAGCGAAAGCGAUAAACACACCGCCUGGGGAGUACGACCGCAAGGUUAAAACUCAAAUGAAUUGACGGGGACCCGCACAAGUAGUGGAGCAUGUGGUUUAAUUCGAAGAUACGCGCAGAACCUUACCAACACUUGACAUGUUCGUCGCGACUCUAAGAGAUUAGAGUUUUCGGUUCGGCCGGACGAAACACAGGUGCUGCAUGGCUGUCGUCAGCUCGUGUCGUGAGAUGUUGGGUUAAGUCCCGCAACGAGCGCAACCCUCACUUUUAGUUGCCAUCAUUAAGUUGGGCACUCUGAAAGAACUGCCAGUGAUAAGCUGGAGGAAGGUGGGGAUGA